AUUUUCUGUUGAUUUUUGCACAUUCUAAUGCUGUGGUGGAAUACUCAUCUUUCUAAUUCUAUUUUCUCCCCCUUAGCCUCUGUUUUCCUGAAAAUACUAAUCAAAGUCACUUUCAAAUCCAAGUCUAUUAACUCCAAUAGCUGAAUCACCUAUGAGUCUUUUUCUAUUCUCUGUUUUUUCUCUUGGCAUGCCUAUUAAUUUUUGAUUGAAUGUAAGACAUCCUGAACCUCCAGAUGAUUUUGUCUUCCUCUAGAGAGAAUAUAUCCUCUACUCUGCUGAGACGAUUGAGUGGAAGCUAAUUGCCAUAAUCCAGUCAAGUACUGUACUGACUUGAAACUGGGUUGCAGUUUGAGUAAGAUUUUAUUAUUUCUGAUUUGCCUCUUUUCUGGUAGCAUAUAGUUCAUUAGGGGUCUCCAUGAUAAAAGUGAUAUCUUCAGUGGGACCUUUUUAGAUAUUCUCAUUUUUACUUUUUUUAACCUCAUACUUAGGACAGCUCAGAAUUUACCAAAUUUCUUGAAGGGAAAACUAGGCAUGCAUUUCAGUCUUUUUGGUUCUCCACUUUGGUCACAUGAGCCAUCCAAGAUUGCCCAAAACUGAUUGAUUCUAUGUUCUUAGGAGCACAUUAUCAAUUUUCUCAUAUUCACCCAGAACUAGCAAAUCCAUCCAGGGGAAAAGCAGCUACAGAUCAUCAGUUUACCACUGUUGUUUUCUCCUUUAUAGGAUCUUAGUCCCUUCCAGUAUCUUUGCUUUCUCU
rnacentral:lncRNA from 1 species